AUUUCUUCUUCAGGAGCAGCAAAGGAACUCUUCAAAACUCAUGAUCUGAACAGUUGUAGCAGACCUCUUUUGACUGGUAGCGGAAAGCUAUCUUACAACUAUCUUGAUAUAGCUUUUACACCUUAUGGAGAUUACUGGAGAGAUAUGAGAAAGCUUUGUGUUCUUGAACUCUUUAGUGCUAAAAGAGUGCAGUCUUUUCAAUUCAUUAGAGAACAAGAGGUGUCUUUGCUAAUUGAUUCCAUUUCUAAAUCUUCUUCUUCUUGUCCUGUAGAUCUGAGUGAAAAAGCUAUGACCCUUACUGCUAAUAUAAUAUGUAGAGCAGCUUUUGGCAAAAGUUUCCAAGAAAGAGGAUUAGGCCAUGAAAGAUUUCAAGAAGUGAUUCAUGAAGGUUUGGCUACGUUGGGGAGUUUUUGUGCAGCUGAUUUCUUCCCUUAUGUAGGUUGGAUUGUUGAUAGAAUAACUGGUCUCCAUGCAAGACUGGAAAGAAACUUUCAAGAAUUUGAUACUUUCUAUCAGAAGAUCAUUGAUGAUCACAUCCAAAAAGGAAGAAAAGACGGGAGUCAACAAGUAGAAGAUAUUAUUGAUGUUUUGCUUGAACUGGAAAAAUCUCACCGUGAAGAAUUUGGAGCUUUUCAAUUUUCCAAAGAUCAUAUUAAAGCUAUUCUUAUGGUAAGCCAAAUAAUUCUUUGUUCUUUUUCACUCUUCUAUUUAUUUAUUAGAGGAAUAAUGCAUCUUUUCUUAAUAACUUUUAUCAUAAAAGUAUUGAGGGAUAAAGGAUAAGAAUAAAAAAGUACGACGUUGAUUAACUGUUUUACAACUUUUAAUAUGUAUUUUUUUUUUCUAGAUAAAGAAAUAUAUAUUUUUUUCUAGAUAAAGAAAUAUGUCGUUAUAAAUCAUAAAAAAAAGAUAUCUUACCAUUAAAAAAUAUUAUAUUCACAAGAAUUUAGCUAUUUUUAUUUUAAUCAGCAAUCAUUAUCAGAUAUUUACUUGUAUUUGAUAACUCUUAAUUUUGUUCUUUGAUUAACAAAUUGCGAUUUUAAAAGUUUUUAAUAUAAUAAAAUCGAUUUGACGGUUAAAUAUUAACAUUUUGAAUUAUUAAACUCUAAAUUCAAAUAUAAACAACAUAAUAAUUAUGUAUGAUCGGAAUGAAUAUGGUUGAGUCCUUACAAAUCAAGACUUUUUAACAGUAAAAUAUUUUUUUAUUAUAAUUUAUAACCAUAUGUCUCUUCUUAUUUAAAAUUUAAAUACAUAUAUUAAAAUUAUAAAAUAAAAAAAACUACAUAGUAUUUUUUUUUUUUUUACUUAUUUCAAAUAUUAACUCCCACCGUUAAUAAUCAUAAACUAAAAUUUAAAUGUCUUUGCACUCUCAACUACUAAGAGGCCCAUUCUUGCGAUACAGGACAAGUUGAAGUAAAGAGCUCCUAGUGUACUGGUUUUACUUUGUGAAAUUUAAAUUUAUCAGGCUACAGAGGAGAAAAAGUGAUGAAGAAAUAUGUGUUACUUUUAGAAAGUCGCAUUUCUUUAGCUUUUAAUUGACUAUGGUACAAAAUUCUUUAUUCAGAAUAUUUUCUUGGCUGGAGUGGACACUGGAGCAAUAACCUUAGUAUGGGCUAUGACAGAACUUAUUAGAAACCCAAGAGUGAUGAAAAAAGCACAAGAAGAAAUAAGAAGUUGCAUCGGAGAUAAAAGAAAAGUAUCUGAAAUUGACAUUGAAAAGCUUGGAUACUUAAAAAUAGUAUUGAAGGAAACUUUGAGAAUACACCCACCAGGUGUGCUACUAAUUCCAAGGGAAACUAUGGCACAAUUCAGCAUCAAUGGGUAUGAUAUUUAUCCCAAAACUCGAAUUCAAGUAAAUGUAUGGGCGAUGGGAAGAGAUCCAAAAAUAUGGAAGAACCCUCAAGAGUUUUAUCCUGAGAGAUUCUUAGACAGUUCUAUUGAUUAUAAAGGGAUGAAUUAUGAACUGUUACCAUUUGGUGGUGGAAGGAGAGGCUGCCCCGGUAUAACUAUGGGAAUGACCACUGUAGAACUUGCACUUGCAAAUCUUUUGUUUUAUUUUGAUUGGAAAUUGCCUUAUAAUAUGAAGAUAGAAGAUAUCAACAUGGAAGAAGCACCUGGUCUUACUAUCCAUAAAAAAGAACCUCUAUUGCUUGUGCCAACUAUAUACCAACCAGUGUCAAAAAACUGAUCAUGUAAUAGCUAGUUAGUUAAUUAUAGCUAGGAAAUAAGCUCUAAUCUGUGCAUUAAUAAUGUAAACUAAAAUGCACCAAUAAAUAAUUUANNNNNNNNNNNNNNNNNNNNNNNNNNNNNNNNNNNNNNNNNNNNNNNNNNNNNNNNNNNNNNNNNNNNNNNNNNNNNNNNNNNNNNNNNNNNNNNNNNNNNNNNNNNNNNNNNNNNNNNNNNNNNNNNNNNNNNNNNNNNNNNNNNNNNNNNNNNNNNNNNNNNNNNNNNNNNNNNNNNNNNNNNNGACCCAGAUACAGUUGGACAAACAGAAGGCCAUGCCAUAAUAGCAGAUGGAGGAACUGAGGGUAAUGAGGCAGUGGUAUAUGCAGGCAGAGAUGCAGAGGCAAAUGCGAGAGGAGAUGUGACAGCUAAUCGCAGAGAUGGCAUGUGAAACUUUCAGCUCCAAUUCAUCCUCCAUCUACAAUUCCAUCUACCAAGUGACACCUCAAAUGACACGAUGUGGACAUAGAUUAGAAUUAGAUGUUUAAUUUUAUCUUGUUUGUGGUUUUAGAGUACAGUUGACGAGGAGGUGUGAAAUGCUGUCAACAGUUUCUUUAAUUCUGGUUACAUGAUUCCUGGCUUUAAUGGGAGCUUCAUGGUUCUUGUUCCCAAAGUUGCUUAUGCUUCUUUUAUUGAGCAAUAUCGGCCUAUUGUCCUUAGCAAUUUCAGUUUCAAGAUUAUCAUGAAAAUCGUGGCUAAUAGGCUUAGAGAGGUUGCCUAAAAAAUCAUCUUCGAAAAUCAAUUUGAAUUUAUCAAAAAUGAUAACAUCUCAGAAUUGAUUGCUGAACCAUUUGAGGGGAUCAAAUUUGUUGAAUAAAAAGUGUUAUGGUGGCAAAACAUGGCGAUGAAAAAUUGAUAUUUGGAAGGCAUUUGAUACCAUGGUUUAGAGCUUUUUACUUGAUGUUCUUGAGACGUUAAUGAAUUCUCUCUUCAGUUACAGUGACUCAUUAAUUAUUUCGAUGAAUUAUUUGUUCGGACAGAAAAAAUUUAUUAUUACUAUAUUAGUUGUAAUGAAAUUUUUUAAAAUUAGAUUUCAAGUUAGCAAUUUCUAUUUCUUUCGUUCAUUUCUUUUUCACUUCAGAUCGGAAAAUAGAAGAGUUUGGAGAAUGGAUUCAUGAUAAAUGGAGAACCUAAGAGAUAUGUUUCUUACUUUCAAGGGGUAAGGCAAAGAGAUUUGCUAUCUCCUCUUUUGUUUUUUCCUUGCAGAGGAAUUCCUUAGCCAACAAAAUUAGUCACAUGGUGGCGCCGGGUGCUUUAUCAUCUGAAUUAUUGCAUUCCCCUGUCAUUUUCUGGACCCUGAUGAUGUGUUGCAUAUUUUAAUUUAAAAACAAUAUCAUCCCUCUUGAUAAUAAAGAAAAUGUAAAGAGAAUAUAACAUAGAAAAGGUCCUUUAACACUCUUUUUAGUUUAUUUAUUAGGAUGAUGAAAUGCUAAGAAUUAUCUCUCAUCUUCUCUUUAUUAAUAACAUAUAUGUCAUAUUUUAUAAAUUUCUUUCUAUCAUACUAUCGGAUCUCAUAGCGUUUAUAUUCAUCACUGUAGGAAUUGGAUUCAAGCUUUUUCUAGCCCCUUCUCAUCAAUGGACUCUUGACGUAUACGAAAGAGUGCGGUUCGUUCGAAAAAUUCCUACCUCUCUAUCUAUCUUUGAGAUGCUUGGAUUUCAUAUUCGCUUAGAGUUCGCUCCAAAAAAUAUAGCCAUCCCUACCCCCUCACUUCAAUCCCACGAACCUCUUAUCUAUUCUCAUUCGAUCACGACAUCGGGGGAACAACUCAAAAUAGACUAAUUUAAAUUUAUUAAAUAAAGUAAAAAAGGAUAUUUUCAUAAUACUCUUACAAAUAUGGGAUUUUUUAUUUUAUUUUGAACACAUAAAACCCUUCUUAAUUUGUUUUGAAUUUUUUCUUACUUUUCUUACUUUUUUCUGUCCACCAAUUUCUUUUUUAUUUGUUUUAGAAAAAAACUAUAAUUGAGUUUCCAAGUUUAUACAAUUUCUAUAGAUGCCAUUCAUGUUUAAAACAGUGUAACUAGGCCCUCCAAUUAUUUAUGUUGGUGUCACGAGACCGUUAGUUAAAGAAUAAAAGAUUAUUUUUAGAUGUUAAAGAUUGACUAAACCCUAAUGGUUUCUUUCUCCAUAAAACACAACAUUUAUUUUUUGAAGCGAAACAUAAGGUUUGUUCAUAAUGUAAAGAAACCUAAUCACUGGAAAGGAUUGUUGCAAAAGAACGACUGAAGUUAUCAAACUUAUAUGAAGAAGGAAAAUAAUGCUUAACAAACUAAUUGUCAUGUCUUAUAAUGGUCUUUUCAUAAAAUCGAAAAUAAUUUCUAAUUAAUAAAGUUAAUGGCACUAAGGCAAAAUAUUCCUUUUUAAUUUGAAUGUUAACUCAGAGCAUCCAUGACACCACCAUGAAUAGUUAAAGGACCCAAUUAUAUUGUUUUGAACAUGAGGUACCUAGAUUGAAGAAACGUAUAAGUUCAGAAGUUCACUUAUGGGUGUGACUUUAUUUUAUUAAUAUAAUUUUUUUUAAAAAAAUAUAUAUAUUCAUUGAUCCUAUAAGCAUAAAAGAGUAUAGAUAUUAUAUUAAGAGUCCAAAUUUAAAACUCCAAAAGUUUUCUUGACAUAAUUUUUUGAUCAAUUAAAAAUAUAUUGUUUUUAAAAAUUUGAACCUCAAUUUCACGAAUACAAUCAUUUUAACAAAAUUUUGCGUUCAUUAUAAAUGAUUAUAGUAUUUCUCAAUUAGCUUUCUAUUUAAAGAUAUUAAUAAGGUAUUAAAAUGAAAACGAGAACUAGACAAUAAUGUUAAUUUAGCAUAGUAAUCAAAGUAAGAAAAUCCUAACAUUUUGAGAGUAUUACAGAAGUGCCAUUGUUAUUUGGUUUAAUGACACCAAAAUUUUAAAUAUUUACUUUCAAUUGCGAGCUUAGUCCAUUCUUUUAAUUUUUAUUUAAAUGGUCCGAUUUGAUUAAUUAAUUAUAAUUAUAGUCAAAUUUAAAUUUCGAAAAAUAGGGUGACGUGUUAUUAUUAAUAAUUUACAUAUUACUGCUAUAUAUAUUUAUACAUCACAUAUGAGUUACCAAUGUCGGAUUAUAGAUGAACAGGAAAAUAAAUGAUAAAUGAAAAUCAUGAAUCAAAAAGAAGAAUGAAGGGUGAAGUCAUUUUUUUCCCUCACUUUCAUUGUGAUUUUAUAUUGGUAAAGUAAAAGAAAUUAGUAUCAAGAGUUAAGAGGGUAGCAUCCAAUUUGACCAAAACUUUAAUUUGGCUAUAUUGCAAUCAAUUAGCUAAAUCGGGUCAUUUAAGUAAAGAUUUAAAAAAUAAAUCAAAUUUACAAAAAGAAACAAUAUCUAAAUUUUUAAUAUCAUUAGACCUUGUUAUUUGUCAUGUUUAUUAUAUUUAGAUCAGCCAUAAAAAAUGAAACAUGCCUUAUUUACCAUCAUUUUAGAAAUUUAGUAUUUUGGUCCAUUAUUUUAAUAUUUUUUUAUCAAAUCUAUCCAAACUCAUUUAGAGAUAUGCCAUGGACGAUGCUAACGCUAACGUGUCUAGUAUUUUACAUACAUAAAAUCUAACCUCAUCAAAAAUUUAAAAUACAUUAUUUUGAAUUUUAUAUUUAAUAUAAAAUAGAAGAAGUAUUCUUCUUUUUGCCACAUUCACAUGUCGCACAACACUGAAUGUAAUUUUGAAUUCUUAUUUCCUAAAUUUUAUCCCUGUUACCAUCCACAAAAAGACCAAUAACUCAAUUUGACUAAAAUUGUAUUCAAUUGGUCAAAUAAUGACUAAUUCACAAUUUUAAAAGAAUUUACCAAACUAACAAACUACCAUUAAAGUUUGGAUUUUUUAGAUUGUUAAGUUUAAUAAUAAUAAUAAUAAUAAUAAUAAUAAAUCUGAGAUUUUAAUGUUAAUUAAUAUAUUAUAUAUUAUAAGUAUAAAUUAGGAAUGUAAUAGAAUGUGCUAGAAUAUCUAUAUUUCUAGAUGUAUGGCUAAUAUUAAUCUAUUUAGUUAUAAAAAAGAUGAUAAUGAAUAAAUAAAUAGAGAUAUUUUGAGGGACCAAUCAUCUUUCUUUUGUCUACUUUUUGUCUUUCUUUCUCGUGUGAUCCCUCCUCCACCCAUAUUUCUUUGUCCUCUACAUUGUACCACCCUAACCAGUAGAAAUCACCACAGAUUUCAUGAUACAUUGUAGGAUGGUGGAUUCGUGAAUAAUAAUAAUAUAGUUUGAUAAAUAAAUGUUAUGGAAAUAAUAAAUUAAUAACUGACUUGGUAAAGUAUUAUAAAAAAUGAAUAUGUUAAUUCGAAGUAUCAAAAUAAUUAAAUUAUUAGUUUAGUAAAGAAUUUAAGUAAUGUAGCAAUUAAGCAAGAAUAAUGAUUUUAGAUCUAAGUUACUUAAUCUGGGUUAGUUAUUUAAGUUCAGUAUUCUUAGGUAAUCGGAUGGUUGGUUAGUUAUGUGGCGGCUGCUGGAAAGAGGAAAAAACAAGAAGGGGUAAAAAUAAUAAUAAUAAUAAUAAUAAUAAUAUAUAAAUAAUUUAUUUAAUUAUUUGAUUUUAUUUGCUUGUGCAAGUCAGCACACUUGAACCUAGAAAUUUUAAUUUAUUUAAACUAAAUUAAAUUUAAUUUAUAAAUUUUGAGAAAUCUAUUUUUUUUUUACUUUCGUAUGUAAAAUUAAAAUAAAAUUAAAAUAUUUAUUUUUUAAAUAUAAAAUAAAGGAUUAAUUUGACAUUUCAAUUGGACAGCACUUUUUGGUACGGAUGGACGUUUUUUCUGUAAAAGGAAAGGGCAUUAUGCAAAGAACUGCCCUAAGAAUCCAGACGACAGCUGUCAAGAAAUUAAAAGAGCUGGCUUAUAAUCCGCCACCUCUCACAAUCCCGUCAACAAGAGAACUCAUUCUCCAGACUGAUGCAUCUGACUAUGCAUGGGGGGCCAUCCUCCUAGAAAAGCUCCACGACAAGGAAAAUGGAACUGGAGGGAGUUUUGUGGUAAAUUGAAAGGUUUCAGGAGGUGGAGGAGAAGCAAAGAAAGAAGACAGUAAACUCAAAGCAUGUGAUGAUCCUUAAUCUAAGACCACAAAGAGGCACCUCGCCAUGGGGGGUCUUUCUGCUCUUUUGGAUCUUGAUUAGCUGAGUUAGCCCUUUUGGAUCAUACCAGAAACAUAUCGUAGCAACUAUUAGAACAUUGCCAUUGGAUCGAGAAGAAGAGAAGGGAGGAGCUUAGAAAGCCAUAAGAGAGUAAGAGAGAGAGAAUGGAGACUUGAUUAGAGAAUUUUAUAUCAAACUUGCUUAUUUACUUGCUUCCAAUGACUUCUCCUUAUAUAGAGAGGAGAGUCUUAACAAGAAUACAAAAGGAGAUUUAGUGGACAUCCCACUAACUCCACUAUCUACUCACAUGUCGGAAAGGAGACUUAGUGGAUAACCUACUAACUCCACUUACAAGAUAAUGACAAGACAUAAUAAUACACUCCACUACGUCUAAUGUGACAAAACAUAAUAAUUCACUCCACUACUCACUCACAUGCCUAAUAUGACAAAACAUAAUAGUACAUUCCACUUAAAAGUAAUAAUGCAUAAGAGUGGCCGACAGCGUCACAUGCUUAGAGUAUGUCAUCAUACUGGUCAUCCUCCAUUGGCUGAAAAUCUUGCAUGAGAGCGUCUUGUUGUGCCCUUGUCAAGGUAGGGUCAUCCAGUGGGGUCGGGAGAUCAGGAAAUGGGUCAUGUUCAAUGAUCUGUCUGGUUAACAGAUGUCCAGUAAAGGUAUAGACCAAAGGUGUUGAGACAUUAGUCGUUCUUGAUUCAUUCCUGUAUUGUAGGGCCCGUUUUAAGUCUUCUGAGAUUGCUGGAGGAGCAAGAUGUAAAGGACUAUUAAGUGUUCUCCAGUGGUAGCAGAUAUUCUGCGUUGUAUAUGUGUCUGCUGCUAGUAGGAAAUAAGGCCUGUGUAAUAUGAACAUAGCAUGGUAUUCCGAAGCUCUGAAACUGUUGUCUGAGAAUAACCGAUGCUCAUGGAUGACUUUAAGAAGAUCUUUUGUCCAUUGACAUUGAGUUUUGAACCAAGUUAGGAAUCUUCAUGGAUAUGACCCCGAGUUUAUUCCAUUGUUAAAGAAGUGCAAGAGAUUCAUGACAGGCACUUCAAUAGCAUGAUAGCAGAUCGUAGAGGCACCAUAGGAACUAUAACUCACUUUCAUGUUUUGGAUGUUCAGGGGAUAAGUGAUAAACCAGACACUAGGGAGAGUCUGAGAAGAAGAAGUUGGGGUGUAUCGGGAGUGAGAACUCCUGUUGAAAAGUUGCUAGAUAGUGGAACAUCAUGUUCCGGGCAAAGGUAGUGACCUGUUUGGUUGUGAGGUUGGGAGGAAGGUCUGGUGGUGAAGGAGGUCUCAGUAGGGUUCUAGAGGAAGAAGAAGCCAUAAAGAUUAUGGGGAGAUUGAUGGUUGAGGUGAGAAGGAUGACAGGCUGAUUCUGGGGUUUGGAGAGUCUGGAUAAGAAAUUUGGAAUUAGAUUUCUUGUCCCUUUUAUAUGCUCAACCUUAAAAUCAUACCUGCUGAACCAGGUUUUGAGCCGUAGCAGUUGAGGCUCGGGUAAUACCUUCUGGUUGGUUUCAAAGAUCUUUGGGAAGGAGGAAUUGUCCAUCCGUACCAGAAAGUGCUGUCCAAUUAGGAAGAAUUCAAACUUCCUUAUCCCAUAUUUGACCGCCAAGAUUUCUUUGUAGGUCGAAUGAUAAUGUUUUUCUGAGGCAGAGAACUGUCCCGAUGCAUACCCAUAUAAGUUUUCCUUGUCGUGGAGCUUUUCUAGGAGGAUGGCCCCCCAUGCAUAGUCAGAUGCAUCAGUCUGGAGAAUGAGUUCUCCUAUUGACGGGAUUGUGAGAGGUGGCGGAUUGUGAGCCAGCUCUUUUAAUUUCUUGACAGCUAUCGUUUGUUCUGUUCCCCACGGAGGAGGGUCCUUCUUAAGCAUUUUGGAGAGGUGGCACGUGUAACUAGACAGGUGUGGAAUAACCUCUCGAACAUAGUUUAGGAUGCCAAGGAACUGUUGGACUUGUUUGACCGAAAGAUUUUCUUCUAGGAAGUUGUCAAGUUCCUUUGUCAGGUGUGGACCAUAUGUGUACUGGCCAUCUUUGAAAUGCAUGCCGAGAAAUUCAAUUUCUCGUUGUCCAAUAGUGCUCUUCUUUUCGGACAACAUAAUUCCAUAUUUCUGAACAAUGGCAAGGAACUGUUGUAACAGUUGAUGGUGUUCCUCUGCUGUUUCUGAGAAUAGUAGGAUGUCGUCGAUGUAGACCAAAGAAGAGUAAAGAAUGGGCCCAAAAAUCUCAAUCAUGGUCUUCUAGAAUUGAGAUGGGGCUGUCUUGAGCCCAAAGGGCAUAACAGUCCAUUGGUAUUGGGCAUUAGGGAUGCAGAAUGCCGUCUUGUAGCACUCUGUGGGCUGAAUACCCAGUUGCCAAAACCCUGCCUUUAAAUCAAACUUGGAAUAGUAUUGGGCUUUCUGAAUAUGGACUUUAAGAUUCGAGAUCCGUGGGAGAGGGAACUUGUUAUCUUGAAGGAAGUGGUUUAAAGGCUUGCAGUUUAUAACAAGUCUCUUUUUUCCCCGAAUCUUUUCAGACCGCUUUUCUACAUAAAAGGCUUGGCAAGCCCAUUGUGAUGUUGUGGGUUCAAUCAGGCCUUGCUGUAAUAGUAUUAGACAUUCUGAUCGGGCAAGGGCUAGGUCUAUGGGUGACAUUCCCAUGUGUGUGGCUUUAGUAGGUUUAAUGUCUUCAUUAAGUUUGAAGGGGAGGUUGAUGAAGAACUGUGGGUUUUUCCAGAGAGGAAGAGGGUGUUAGAAAUGUGAAUGUGAUUCUAGACAGAAUUGAAGGAAUUUCUCUGUGUAUGGUAGAAAUGGUGGGGUUGUAUCUGUUAAGGUAAACAUAUUGGAAGUUUCAGUGUAUGGCCGAAACUGUCUUUUGAACUUGAUGCCAGUUGGCAGAAUCUGGAGCUUCUGAGCUUGAUGGUAAACAUCAAACCCUAUCAGGAUAUCCUUGUUUGGAAGAUCCGAACCGAUGAUAUGCGUCCAUACAACGCAAUCAGGAAAGAACUGUAUUCCGAUCUUCUGUCUUGUAAUCAGAGUGGUUUUAAAUGUUUGACCAUCAGUUGCCCUGAAGAGUUGGUCAUGGGGCUUUCAAUACUCUGAUGGAAGAACCAUUAGAUUCAUCAUGCUUCUUUGAGCUUCAAUGUCAAAGAAAGCGAUUACUGGUACAGGUUUUGAAUAUUUGGAGGGAAGGAUCUGUAUGGGAACAUAUGGAACUGGAGGGAGUUUUGUGGUAAAUUGAAAGGUUUCAGGAGGUGGAGGAGAAGCAAAGAAAGAAGACAGUAAGGUUGGAGAAAGGGGAUACUGUAUUAUAUCCCUCAGGAUAUUUUCUUCACUUUCUUCUUGCAGACCAAUCAUCAAGAUUGAAAUUUCACUAUCGUCUGAGUCUAAAGAAGAUUCCUGUGAGGAUUCUGUGAAGUCUGAGAACUCCAUUUCUAACCCGAAUAAGCUUUCUGGGGUAAGAUCCUCUUGUUCUGAAAGGAGAGAUUCUAUUUCUGCUUCAAAUGAGUCUGGAAGGGAUAAGGACAUGCUGACUUGUUAAAUCAUCCUUGCAGACUUUUCUGGAUUCUUAGGGCAGUUCUUUGUAUAAUGCCCUUUCCUUUUACAGAUAAAACAUUUGUCAGACUUAUACCCUUGAUUCUAUUUUUUACGGAAGUAUUUGAAUCUUCUUGGGUUCUUUUUUCUGAACUCCUUGUUGCUGCGCUUGUAUCUCUGGAAAUGGUAUCCAGACUUUUUCUUAUGAUUUGAACAGACACAAUUAUUGGCUUUGCAUUUGAUCUUGAGGUGGUUCUUAUCGCAAAUCUUUUGGACAAUUAAGUCCCUGUGAGACAAUCUUUUGAACAACUCCUGUUGGUCACAUAGUCUUUUAUGAAUUGCCAGAGUUCGCCAAGAGUAAUGGAGGUAACUGGUUUCUUUAUUGCCGCAACCAUAUUGUUGACCUCCGAUUGUAUUUCAUCUGGUAGAGAGGCAAUGAAUGUAUACUUCAGUGUAUCAUCACCAUCAUGUCCUCCGAUGACAUAGUAGAGUUUGGACAUAGCUGAAUAAUGCUUAUCCAGAUCUUUCAUUUUCAACGAACAGCAUUUUCGAUCAAAAAACUCUUGUUUCUGUUGUCGUAUGACAAGAUCGUAGCUUCCAAAAAACUGGUUAUGGAGGAUUGUUACUGCUGCUGAUUGAGUUGGCAGUGCCACAUAUUAAAGCCUGGUGUACUCAGGCUGAGAUUGAAACCAAUCUCUCAGGCUUCCCGUAAACCUUGUGACAAAUUCAACAAGGACUUUUUUAAGAGUGGCCCCUUCAAGGGUCAUUUGCAGGUCAAUCCAUGCCAAGAACUCUGAAAGCUUGUCCUUCCAUCUUGAUGGUGGUAAGUCAUCAAAAGUGAACCAGGGUCCCGUGCUAGCCGAUUUUGACCUCGGGUUCGGAGCUCCAGUGGGAGCGAAGAAUGACUGUGCCUCUUCAUCGUCAGGUUCCACAACUUCUGGACUGGGAUCAGUUGCAGAAGUGUUCAUGAGAAUCUCAGUAAUGUCCGCCAUUCCUGAAGCAUUUGAAGAAGAUUCUGAAUUAUACGGACUGAUGAGAGACUGCUCUGGUAAUUUUUCUUUACAGGCUUGAGAAGAAGAGGUUUUCUUUUCUGCAGCUUUUGUUUGUUUUGGGUAGAGGUGAGAGAAAGUGUCGAAUGGCUGAUAAGAAGUUUCUUGUGGUUGUUCUAGUUGUGAGAGAAAAGGGAAAGAAGAGUAGUAAGAGGGAGUAAUGGCAGAUGAUAUUGAGGCUGCUGAUGUAAAGGUUGGAAUCAUGGCAGACUGGCUUCUCCGAAGAUCAUGCUCAAUUUGAUCUAUUUGUUUCUUCAGCCGUAUGAUCUCUUUUUCUUUUUGCAUGAAAGCUGGAGUAAUGGGCUGAGGUAUCUGAAGCUCUCUAUCCAGAGCCUGGUACUUUGCUGUGAGAGAUGAAUGGAGCUGGAGUACUUCUUAUGAGAAAGUAUCCAACUUGUGAUCCAUGUUUUGAACCAAGUGUAAAGCUUGAUCCAAUUUCCCAUCUAUCUUUUUUAGAUAGGUAUUCUGGACGAUCGAGUUGGAGGUUUGCCAGUUUAGCACCUCUUCUGGUGGUGUCAGCGGCUUUAGUGAUCCAGAGGGGGAAAUCCUUGAAGGGAGGAUUUCUGAUCUCUUGUUCUCCGUUUUUCCCAAAGGGGGAAAAUCCUCUGGUUGGAACAUAUAACACUCUUGAAUUAAUGGUUGUACCGCUGGUCUAGAAGCCAGAGAUGAAGAAGAUCUAAAAAUUUAUGGCGUUGUAACCGAAACCGCGCUUUCAAAGCCUGUGGGAGCUAAGCUCUUGCAGGUUUCGUUUUCCAGCCUAUAAACUCUUAGAUCUGUCUGGAUCUCCUUUCUGCAGGUUACAGAUGGUGCUUUCCCAAAUUCAACUCCGAGUUGAGCUAAUAUUACCUUGAAUUUCUUAAAAGAAAUAUCAAGGAUUGUCUUGCCUUCUUUAGCAAGGACCUCGAUAGCCUCAUCAAACAUCGGGAGUGGUGGUUUAUUUAUCUGUUGCUUCUGGGAACCAUCUGGAUCCCGGUCAUCCGGUUUUGAAUUGAUCUUUGAACAUGGAGUGUCCGGUGACAUUUUCUGUGGAUUCUUCUUUGGAUGCUGAAAGCAGGGUUCAGCAUAGUCUAUAUCAUCAUUACACGUGCAUCCUGGUCUGCACAUCUCUGGGGCAACAUCCCAGACGAAGUGUUCUUUGACUUGUGCAGCAUAGAUCUGGUGGCCAGAUGAUUGGAAAGAAUGAAUAGGGAUCUUUUCCCUUGGCCUUAAUACUGGUUGUAUCAUAGAUGCUUGAAAGAUUGAUGGAGCUGAAGAAGUUUCUCCAGUCCUGGUGAAGAUUGUUUUAACAGUCCCGUCUCUUUGAUUGAUAAAGAGAGGAUCUGUGGCUUGCACCGGCUUGGCUUGAGACGCUUGAAGCUUCUCAUAGUUAGUGACCCACUCAGUUGGGAUCAGCUUUUGAAGGUCUUCCUUUUCUAGCUGUCUGGGUGCUUGGACAAUUGUGGGGGUUUGGCCAGAGUCGGCCAUGAUGAAUAACGCAUCAGAGGAGGCUUGAAAACCUGGGAUCUGCAAAUUAAACGCAUGAUCCUGUAGUUUGUAGACUAUCUAAUGGUGUAGAGUCGCAGAGAGAGCGUUAUCAACUUGGUUCGCUCCUGUGAUCUGGACUUGAACUUUUAAUGCUGUGGAGAGAUACAAAUCAUUGAGGGAGAGAUUGAAGUUUAGGAAGAAGGUCAAGACAACACUUCCUGUGUUGAGUGUUGUGACAAUCGUUCCGAUCACUGCAUGCUCAUACUUGAGGUAUCUCGUGUCCAGUAGCGACAUAUGGGCUGUGACAGGUAGACCCAUCCUUCCAUGAUAGGAAAGGACCAGUCGAACUGCUCCAAGAUGGAGUGUGUGUAUCCAUGUUUUCUCCACUGUUCUAUGAACGAAGUGGGGAUCUCGAGAGUAAUGUACUGCUCUUGUGUAGUAGCAGUAAGAGAACACUGAGAGAGAGAAGAAGAUUGGACAUAUUCUUUUACGGUAAGGGGGUUUUUUAUGAAUAAUCUGGUUGAAGUUUUUUCUAACAAAGUUUUAUUUUUUGAAUAUGUUGUAAGGGUUCAUAAUAGGUACUAGGGUAUCUUCUAUUUGAACAUUUUCUGGUAUAUGGGAGAUCUCAACAAGAUGGUCUAUCUUGUUAGAGAUAGUUUUCUUACAUGAAGGAGAUAGUUGUAAGGUAGAAGUAUGGGUAGUAAUUUCUGUAGACAUAGUGUUUAGGGUUUCUCUUUUCUGUCACCAAGGCUCUGAUACCAACAGGGGCCGAGAACUGUUCAUGGUAUAAUCCUCAUGCUGUAAACUCAAAGCAUGUGAUGAUCCUCAAGCUAAGACCACAAAGAGGCACUUCGCCAUGGGGGGUCUUUCUGCUCUUCUGUAUCUUGAUUAGCUGAGUUAGCCCUUUUGGAUCAUACCAGAAAUAGAUCGUAGCAACUAUUAGAACAUUAUGGGUUGUCCACUAAGUCUCCUUUCCGACAUGUGAGUAGAUAGUGGAGUUAGUGAGAUGUUUUAAAUAGCUAUAUUAAUACUUGUGUAGUGAUUUUAUCGGAAGUUUACAAUUAAAUAAUACUUAUUUGUAGUUGAAUUGAUUAUUAAUAUAUUAUAAGAAUUGUGUUAAGUUGGCAAUAGUGUGUAGUUUUCGGAUCCAAUUUGACUGUAAACAUGUGCAAUUAUGAUUAUGGAAGUGUUUUUAAUAGGAAAUAAACAUGUCUAUGGAGAGAAAUUAAUAUGAUUUACAGAGAAAACGCUGCUGAAUUUUUGAUAAAAUUAAUUAAUUAAAAUAAAAAGAUAAUUAAUAGAAUUAUUAAAAAUAAGAUUAGAAUUAGAUAUUAGAUAGGAUUAUCACAAAUAGGAUAAGAUUAUUAUAAAUAGGAUUUGGCAUUAGAUAUUAGGCGAAUUAUCAGAAAAUAGGAUUGUAAUUAUUUUUAAAUUUUGUUUAUAUAUGAAUUAUAGAUUAUGUGCUCAAAUAGCCAUUCAGAGGAAAAUUAGUAAAUUAAGUGAAAAGCUAUAAUUCAGGUUCAUCUAUAGAAUUCAGAAAUAGAUAAUGAUAGUUGGAUUUUUGUGAUAUUUAUAAAUCUGAUUUAUAUAACUAGAUAUAUGAUAUACACUUAUUUAUAUGGCUUGAACUAUCACAUCUUGAAUGUUGGGUAUUGAUUUAGUAAUAGAAACAAAUAAUAUAUUAUCUUUUGGACAACAUUCAAUAUGCACAUGCCUCUGGGCAUAUACUGGGUGAUCGCCUUUGGGGACAUUGUCUGCGCAUAUAUGACUAAAGUUUGCACUUUAAACUCCCAGGUAGACAUCUUUGCUCCCAUUGCUACCGAGAUUAUCGAGGUACAUCUAUUGAUGUGUAUUGAAUUUUUAUUGUUGAUGUUUUGAUAAUUUUGUUGUAGAGAUCAAUUAAUAAUUAUCAGAUUUUAUCACCGAUAUUUGUUCAACUAGUUAUCAAUUUCANNNAUAAAAGUCAUCGUGGUUAGAGCUUUGCUGUGAUACCAAGAAAUAUUUAGAAAAAUAUAUAUAAAUAAUAAAAUAAAAUAAUUGUCACGAUUCCAUACGUGAGCCCGUGACCGGCACUAGGGAAUAGGUAGGCGUAAGGCCACCAAAUUCCGUAGUAAACCUGAUACUCACUAACUCAAUUAAAUCUCAUAUAAUAUUAUUGAUGCUACAAUUGCCUUAACAGUUAAAUUUUACAUAAUUAAUUCGGUCUACCAGAAAAAUUAGGCGAGACCUAAAACUACAGAAAAUUUCAUAUGAUACAUCUACUAUUACUACUAAGGAGAAUCUAAGAUUUUCCUAAAUUAACGUACCAAAUCAAAUACACCACCCGAUGAUAAAGGAGUCGGUUAUUAGAUAAGAGUUGCGGGAAGACUAACAGUCACGGAUCUGAAAAACAGUAAAAUUAAGACUGUUAGUCUCGAGAGUGAGUUAAAAUCAUAUAUCCAAAAACCUUUACAUAUACUUCAAUCAUACAUUUAUUUAAUUUGAAAUAAACACAAGUCAUGUAAAAACAUACGUAUCAUGCCAUGCUUAAAUAAAAUAAUUUUUCACACACCUAACAAGAUAGAAAACUUCAGUAGAACCCUAAUUCUAACACUAAUAUUUGAUUAAUCUUAGCGCUAACAUCUUGACUAACCUCAACUCUAACAUCUCGACUCUCUUAUUCCAACAGAAUUGGCGCCCAGAGAGCGAAGCUCGAUCAGGGACCUUACCUUCAGUCCGGUCACUUGUCUUAGCCUUUCGGCUCACUUAAUCCAACAGGUUUGGCGCCCAGAGAGCAACCUCGAUCAGGGUCCUUACCUCCAGCCUGAACACUUAAUUUUCAACUAAGCCGGCGCCCAGAGAGUAAGCUCGAUCAGGGACCUUACCUCCGGCAAACAAACUCUACUAAGCCUAGAGAGUGAUGCUCGACGAGGGCAAGUCCUAAACUUUCUUUUUUAAAAAUUACUCAUUUACCCUUUUUCCGUCACUCUCGGACCUUUACCGGUAUACUCAUCAAACUAAUGUGUUCUACUACCAUCCUAUCCCUUGUCAUCAUGCAAUAAUAAAAUCAAUGAUAAAGGAAAUGAUAUAUAAAUGAAUAGUAAUCAAAAGCAUGAUACAAAUGAAUAAUAAUUAAAUGAAUAAUAAUUAAAUGAAUAAUUACAAAUCAAAAAUUCAUGCAUGACACGUGCAUAAUCUAUAUAUGACUUUAGCUCACAACUUUGGUGACCUCCUAGCUCUGCUCCUGUGCCUCGGUUGGAGCGAGCCGAAUAGAUGGAUUAUCUAAUCACGGGAAAUAAUUUAUCAAAAAGGCUGAACAAUUGAUAAUUAACCGUAGGUCUAGAUUCCUAGGACUGACUGUCUAAAAUCUCGACUCGGGUAAUUUCUAUUGAAAAUUUGGUAGAACCUCUCCUAUAACAUGGAUAUUUACCCCUCGUAAAACGGAUCUAGGACCUGCCAGAAAAAUACUUCAAAUAUCUAACAAUUUAAUAUAACGGGAGUCGGGUCCUCAAGACUUCACUAUUUUUCUCUGACUCCGCUACACAGCACAAAACGCGACUAUGGCAGACAACCCGACAAACACAUAUUUUAACUCACAAUUAUUAUCUAAUACUCAACACAAUCAAUAAGCACAAAUUAAAUCAAGGAAUUCCAAAAUCAACGGGCCAGAGAAAAUUAUCGAGACGCUUGAUCGCUCGGUCGACUCGCCUCCAGCCGUCGGAGUCUGAUCGACUAUCCGAACAUACCAUCGGACUCGAAAUGACGCGCUGAUGACAAUUCCUGCUUUCGACCAUUGAUUUGUAAACAAAGUUUGAUCGCCACGAAACCGGUGUCAUUAUAAAAAUAGUUUACUCGCAUGGAACUGAAGUUAAACCAUGUUUUACUGGAAUUCUUCUACAAGAGUUAACACAACUUAGCCCCACUAAUUGUAUAUAAAAGAAGUCUUUCAGCUCAUAAUUAACAAUGGAUUUAUAUUGUAGGAAUCCUUUUGCAGGAGAUAAUAUUAUUAUAUAAGAUAAAACUACACAUAAUGAAUUCAUUGUAUGAAUAUAUAGUUAUAUAACUAUUAUUCAUGAAAUUAAAUAAUCACUUAAAUCAUUUCUUUUUAUAUUUUUAUGAAAAUUUAAUUAAUUAUUAAAAUAUUAUUUAUAUAUUAUUUUUCAAUUAUAUAUUAUUGGCAAAGAUAAUGAUUACAUAGAGAUUCAUGCUAGAUAGAAGUCCAGACUCCAUAUAAUAAUUCUUAGAUUUGAAUUUACCUUCGUAGAAAAGUUCUAUUUUGUAUAAUAAUAUCUUUCUAUUUUGUAUUAGAAUAUCUUUCUAGCUGGAGUAGAAACUGGAGCAUCAGUCUUGGAAUGGACUAUGGCAGAACUUAUUAAAAAUCCUAGAGUGAUGAAGAAAGCACAAGAAGAAGUAAGAAAUUGCAUUCGGUGUGAAAGAAGAGUAUAUGAAAAUAAAAUUGAAAAGCUUGAAUAUUUAAAAAUGGUCCUUAAAGAAGCCUUGAGAUUACACCCAUCAUGCUCACUGCUAGGUCCAAGAGAAACUAUAUCGCAAUUCAGUAUCAAUGGCUAGGGCUGAGCACGGAUUGGUCCAAUUCGGUUAUUUAUAAAUCACCAGUACCAUACCAAACCUCGGUUAUUUUAAAAUUGAAGGUACCGGUACCGUACCAAACAUAAAAGGAUCCAAUACCGUAUUGUACCAAUUUUACUGUUCAAUACAGUUCGGCUCGGUGUUAUUUUUGGUUCUAAAAAAUUUAAAAAAUAUAACUUUAAUCUCAUCUUUAAUUAAAUACAUGUAGAGAAAAUAUGAUUACCAACCUAAAAAAAGUAGCAUGAAAAUCUGAAUCAAAAUUACAAUCACAUUCUUGAACAACCUGUUUCGCAAUUCAGUCACUUGCAAAUACAAUAAUUCAUUCAAUAUUCAAAUACAAACCAUUAAAAUAUAUAUUACUGCUAUCAUAAAAAUAUUUUACAGAUAAUCAUUAAAAUAAAUAAAUUUACAAACUUUAUGUAGCACUAAAAUAAAUGUCCAAAUAUAGCAAAGGAAUGUUAUUAUCUCCCCUCAAAAUUAACACUCCACAUUUAAUCUUGGCAUAAGGGACUCACCAAUCUCAAGAUCUUGAAUAAUUCUAUAAUAAAAGUAAAAGAUUACGUCAAUAAGACUUAACAGCAUCAACAAUAAACAAAUAUAUGUAAGAAGUAAAGAAAUGUUACCUGACUCUAUGCUUUCAAUAUCCUUUAUUGAUUCUUCUAGUUGGAUAGGUUUAUUUGAACUUCUAAGCCAAUCGUGACAACAAAUGAGGACCUCCGCUGUUGUAGGAAGUAAAGAACUUCUAUAUUGUUAAAAGAUGUUCUGACAAUUUUUUUCUCAAGUUUUGUUUGAUCAUUUUCAAAAAAUUAAAUUAAAUUUAUAAAUAUAAUUUAAUAUAUUUUUUAUAUUUUAAUAUUAAUUUAUAAUAUUUUAAAAGUUAAUAAAUUAAUUAUUUCUAAAUAUUUAAUUUUUUAAGUUUUAUUAGUAUAAUAAUAUAAAAAUUAUUUUUAUAAUAUUUAUUUCUUAAUUUUAAUAUUUAUAUAAAUUAAUACUUUUAGUAUAAUUAAUAUUAUUAUUCUUAAAAUAAAAAUAUUAUAUAAUUAAAAAUUAAUUUAUUAAUAAAUAUAGUGUAAAUAAUAUUAUAUUCAUAUAAUAAUAUCUUUUUAUAAAUCUUACUAAUUUAUAUAACUUUUUAUUAAAUUAAGUAAUUUUUUAAUUAACUUGUCAAAAAUUUCUAGAUAGUAAAUAAAUUUUAAAUCUAGUAUUAUAGUAUGUAUACUAGAUUACUAGUAUCAAUAUACUAUGUGACAUAUUAAUAUAUAACUUAUAUUUUUUAUAGAGUAUAAAAUAUAUUAUAAUCUUAUAGUUAUUUUUAAUAUGUAUUAUUUUUUAUAUUUCGAUAGCAAUUGCUUGAAUUAUAUAAAUGAUAAAUAUAAAAUAAUUUUUUAUAGAGUAUAUGUAUUAUUUUUUUAAUAUAUGUAUUAUUUAUAUAAUAUAAAUAAUAUUUAUAAAUAUAUGUAAAAAAUUCGGUUCUACUGUUUGGUCCGGAUCAGUACAAGACAGAUCGGUUUUGGUACGGUUACGGUACGGAUUUUACUAAAGAACCAGUACCAUACCGUAAUAGUAAAAAAAUUCGGAUCAGUUCAAUUCGAUUAUAAAAACUUUCAGUUCUUUUCGGUUCUGGUACUUUUCGGUACGGUUAUUCGGCUCGGGCGGGAAUCACCGAGAUCCAUGCUCAGCCCUAUCAAUGGCUAUGAUAUUUAUCCCAAAACUCGAAUUCAAGUCAAUGUAUGGGCGACAGGAAAAGAUCCAAGCAUAUGGAAAGAUCUUGAAAACUUUUAUCCUGAGAGAUUUAUAGAUGGUCCUAUUAAUUACAAAGGGAUGAAUUAUGAAUUAUUACCCUUUGGCAGUGGAAGGAGGGGCUAUUCUGCCAUCACUACGGGAAUGGCUAUUGUGGAAUUAGCACUUGCGAAUCUUUUAUUCUGUUUUGAUUGGGAUUUGCCUUGUAAUAUGAAGGUGGAAGAUAUCAACAUGGAAGAAGCAGGCGGUAUUUCUAUUCAUAAGAAAGAACCUUUGUUGCUUGUGCCAACUGCAUACGAACCCGUGUUAAGAAAUUAAUUAUAUAGUAGCAAGUUAAUUAUUGCUAUUAAGUUUUGCUUUGUACAUCAAUAAUUUAGACUAAAUUAUACCAAUAAUGGUUGAUCUUAUUUGUGAAAAUGUUGUUACAAAUAUAUGUACAAAAAUAUAUUUUAGAUAUUAAAAGAAUAUCUAAAAGAGAAAAAUAAAUAAAAGAGUUUAGUUAAAAGACUACACAUAUCUUAAUUAGUUAAAAGUGCAAAGUAAAUCAUAUGGACGUUUAUAUUAAAAAGGAUCAAAUUUCUUAUUUGCAACUAAAUUCUUAUCUAACUUUAAAUUUAAUAAUAACAACAAAUUUUUCAACUAGUUUAGGGCACAAAAAGAUUUACCGGUGUUAUCAAAAUUAAAACUUAGUAACUAUUAAGUUAUAAAUAAAAAAAUUUAGUAUAUUUUGUUGCGAAAUAUAAAGUUUGAUAAAUACUCGUAUAAUUUAUCAUAUUAAUGUCAAUAUAAUAAAAAGAUUAUAGUAAAAUUUACAUAAAUUAAAAUCAUAAAUUAUACUAAUAUGCUUUAGCUCGUCUUUAUGGUUCCGAGGUUUUAAAAUUACAUAUAUAUAUAUCAUUUGUUUUAUAUGUUGAUUUAGAAUCUAACUUUUGGAUUUAUAUUUGUUUUCUUCUUGAUAACGUUUUUGCCAUAUAUUGUAACAACCACGUUCAGACUGGGUCUAACUAUUUAAUUUUUUUUUCUUUUUCCUGCACUAUGAAGCUUGGCAAUGUGAAGCUCUCUAUCUACUAUGCCUUCUAUUCUAAUUCAACUUCUAAAUAUCUUGCAUAACACUAGUGGGUGGAAAAAAAUAAAUAUUAAUGAGAAAAUAAACAAAAAAGAAGAGAGAACAUACAAGAAUUUAGAUAAAAUUUAUACAAUACAAUAUAUAAUCAUUAGAUAUUUUUCUAUUGGAAAAAUACUACUAAUAUAAUAUAUAUAUAUAUAUUUAAUCCAAUAAAUUUAGUUAGUCAAAUGAAAUUUUAUAAAACUAAAUAAAUAGAAAAUUACUUUGGUGCAUAUAUCUCAAAACUAAAUAAAGGAUAAUCACUAUUUUCAAAUCUGAAAUCUAUAAAUUCAUGUUCCAACCAAUCAGGAAAAACAUAACCAAUAAAUCUAGAAUUUUACAUCUCAAAUAUACAAAAAGCUUAUCACACUUUACAUAAGUCACUUAGUAUUUAUUUAAAGAUCAAGACUAAUUCAAUAUAAUUUAAUCAAUCUUUUUAUCUUCAUCUAGCAAGAAAAUUCCUCCUUUUGAAAAAAAAAUCAAUAAUAAUAUGAUUAUAAAUCAUUCAAUUUAGAAUAAAAAUAUUACUUUAAUCACAUAAUAAAUACAUAAUCUUAUUAUUAGUAUUAUUUAAUUAUUAUUUUUUAUUCUUUAGAUAUGGUAUUACAACUCUACCACCUUUAAAAAAUUUCAUUCUUGAAAUUUCAAGAUUAGAUUUGAGAAAAUUAGUCACAUGCAAAAACACCAUGCUUCCACUGCCACUCCUGAUCGCUAACAAGUAUACCUGUUCAUUGGCCUGGGUUUUAUAUUGAAAUCCAAGCCCGGCCCGGUUCGGCUCGAUGUCUAGUAUAGUUACUAAAAAUUAGUUUAAAAUAAAUAUAUCACAAUCAGCACUCGAACCUGAAACCUUCUUCUUAUAAUUAAUUGCCUUACACCACUUAGUUAACUAUUAUUUUUGCUUAUAGUUUUGUUAUUAUUAAUAAUGUAUAAAUAAAAAUAGAAAAUCCUAAAUUUACCUAAAAUUUGGGACAAUGAACGCAUACGAGAAAAUUUGGAUGCAUGAUUUACCCAAGCCCGGCCCAUGAACAAGUCUAUUUACAAGUUUAAUAGUCUGCCGGGUAGGGCCGGACUUUUUAAAAAAUUUAGGGUUCGGGCUUGGGCGGGCUCGGGUUUGUUAAAAAAAAAUUCAGGCCCGGCUCGAGCCCGCCCAGGCCCGGCCCAUGAACAGGUCUACUAAUAAGUUGAGUCCAAAUCUUGCUACUAUUUUUGCUUGUAUAAUUAUUUCUUACUAACAUAUCUUUGGUGACAAGACCUUUAUACAAAAACAUCACUAUUUCGAUCACAUAAUUUAUUCCAAAACUACACAUGUUAUUGAGCUACAAUUUCAACAACAUUAAUUCUUUAUUCACAAAUACAAAAUAUACAUGCACAUGAUCUCUUCUUGUCAUGAUUACUCAAUUUCCGUACUUUGAUCUCCUUAACAACUCUCAACUAGGCAUUACAACCAUUUAAACCUUAUUUUCACAUUAACAUAUAUUUCAAUUCCGAGAUUAGCUUUUACGACUCACCAGCUCCUAUUUCACAUUCUAAAUUAUAAAUAUUUAAAUUUGUAAAUGCAAGAAGGAGAAGAGAAUAUAUUAUUUAUGCUGAAUAAAUAAGUACAAAUAUAUAGAUAUUAUGAGAGCGUAAAAAUAGAUACAAGAACAUAAUAUUUAAUGAUAUAGUAAUCUAAAAUUAAAGGAUAAUUACAAAAGUAAAAUACAUUUGCUUUCUAUCCUAUGACAUCCCCUGCAAGCCAUUGGUGUAGUAGGCAAUAGGCAAUAGGCAAUAGGCAAUGGGCGAAGCUUGGAUUUGAGAAAUUGAAAUUGUCUAGUACUCAUCUUUGGUGAAGAUAUUACCAAUUUGAUCUGAAGAACUAAUGAACCUAAUUUGAAUAUUUCCCUUAACAAUUUGCCCACAAACAAAAUGAUAAUCCAAUUCUAUGUGUUUAGUGUGGGCAUGAAGUACAAGAUUGGAUGUGAGAUAGAUAACACCUACAUUUUCACACCAUAAGGUAGCACAAGAAGAGCAAGAUAUGCCAAGUUCAAACUAACAAAUAUUGAAUCUAAAGUAAUUCAGCAAUUGUAUUAGCAAGAGCCUUGUACUCACUUUCAAUGGAUAAACAAGCAAGGAUGGAUUGCUUUUUAGAAUUCCAUGAGAUCAAUGACUUCCCUAAGUAAAUUGCAAAACCACUUGUAGAGCGAGGAACAACUGAGCAGCCACUCUAAUCACUAUCCAAAAGACACUGUAGAUAGCAUGGUGAGUUGUAUGCAAAGAAAAGAGAAUCAUCCAAAGUCUGUUUAAUAUAGCGAAGCAACCAAUUAACAGCCACCCUAUGCAUAUCGGUAGAAGAAUGCAUGAAUUGACAGAGACGAUUUACCGAGAAAAUAAUGUAUGGGCAUGUCAUAGUGGCAUAUUGAAGAGCCCCAACAACAUGGUGAUAUUGCUCACCAUCUUCCAAUAAAGAGCCUGAUUCUUUUGUCAAUGGAGGAGAGGUGGCCACCAGUGUAUUGCAUGACUUUGCAUUGUCCAUUUUUUAUUUCUUCAAUAAGUCAUGCAAAUAUUUUCUUUAAUUCACCAAUAUUCCAUUCAGUUUAUGGAUUACUUCAAUACCAAGAAAGAAGUGUAAUAGAGCAAUAUCACAAACUAGAAACUCAAUUCUCAAUGCAUCUAGGAAUUUAUCAAUAAGAAUUGAAGAUGAUCUAGUGAUUGUGAUGUCAUCAAUAUAAACUAAAAUAAACAUGCAAUCUGGACCUUGAUGAAAAAUAAAGAUAGAUGAAUAUGCUUUAGAGGCUUUGAAACAAAAAAGAAGAAGAUAUUCACUCAACCUAGUGAACCAUGCUAGAGGUGCUUAUUCCAAUCCAUAAAGAGAACACUUUGGCAAGCAUACAUGAUUUGGUUUGGAUCUUUCUAUAAAGCCCUGAGGUUGACUCAUAUAGACCUCAUAAUCAAGAAACCCAUGGAGGAAAGUAUUGGAGAUGUCUAGUUGUUUAAGAUGCCAGCCUUUUGAAGUAGCAAGAACAGUUCUGAUCGUAGUUGCUUUUGCUACUGGACCGAAAGUUUCUUUGUAAUCAAUCUCGAACUGUUGGGCUCGUACAUGUUCUGCAGUACCCCCUGUGAAUACUCCGCCGGUAUGAAAUGUUCUUAAUGUUAGUUGAGUACCCGGCUCACCCCCUUUCCAAAAAAAAUCAAUACACCAAGGAUUACACUUAGAUUUAUUGGAUUUUUUGCUAAUUAAUUUUUUUAUUGAGAUUAAUGUAAAAAAUAAAAAUAUAAAAAAUAGCGUUUAACUUUCUUUAAACUUUUAUAUGGAUGAAUAAGAAAAAGAAAAUACUUUUAUUAUAUUUUUAACGUUUGAAAAAUAGAUAUAAAUUUAUAAAAAUAUUAAAAAUAAAUAAAAAAUAUGAAAUAUUUUAAAAUUAAAUAUUUAAAUUAAUUUAUUAUUUAAAAUAAGUAUAUAACCAAUCUGUAAAAUUGGUCAGAAAUACUAUAUAAAUAAUUUUAAUAAAUUUAAAUAUAAUUAAAUAAAAAUAAUUUUAGAUAUCAAAAUAAAAGAAACAGACAAUAUUUUUUGAAAUAAAGAAAAACAUAAAAAGUUACCACCAAAUUCGUAACCUUCAGCCGAAAGAUGGGAGAAGAAAUUCUCCAGCCAUUAUCGAUUCUUCUUUCCCUCUUCUUUUCUCUUUUCUUUCUUUCCUUUUUCUUUUGCCUUUAAAGUCUCACUAUUUUAACUUUCACCCUAAAACCAUUUUUAAUCAAAUUCAAAUGGGUCCCCAGUUUAAUGUCUCAGGGCCAAAUUUAUAAUUAUUAAGGAAAUCAAAUAUCCAUCUCAUCCUUACUGCUAUUGACAAAAAGAUUAAAAAUACCCUAACCGACUAUACUAUUUACAAGAAUACCAAAGCUUGUGUUUUUGCUCAUGAUCCUAAAUUGAUUGUACUCAUAAGUCCCUUUUAUUUCAAAUUAAAUUCUACUGCUUAAUAAUUUAUAAUAAAAAUAAACCUAAAAAGGUAUAAUUGCUCAAUAUAUUAUUAUUUAAGACUAAUAGUCCUAAAAUUAAAUCUAUAUAUUUAUAUACACUAAUUUAUUUUUAUUUAAUCUUUUAUUAUUUUUACAGAAAUUUAACUAUAGAUAAUUCAUUUCCUUUUCUCUAAGAAAAAACAUAUAUUAUUAUUCAUUUCCUCUAAUUAUAGAUAAUUCAUUAGAUGCUGAAAGAAAAGUUAUUCUUGACGACUUGGAACAGGAAGAGGACAAGAAUAAACAAGGAUUCUUUGUACUUUAAAAAGUAAAUAUGUGAUAGCUGGCUAGUUAAUUUUAACUAACAGGAUUCUUUGUACUUUAAUAAUGUAAACUAAAAUGCACCAGUUGCAUAGAUAAUUGACCAUAAUCUCUUUAAUAAAGAAACUAUAUAUAUAUAUAUAUAUAUAUAUAUAAAAACUUAGACCAUAAUCUCUUUAAUCAAGUAAGAAUUAGCCCUGUAAUUGUGAUUGAGCUGUAAUCAUGCUAUGAUUGUGGAGCUGAGAGAAAAAGUACAAAUGAAGCUAAAAAUGCAAAAAGAACUCAAAUAGAAAAUCUAAAAAUCAAUUGACCAAAACCUUCUUAAGAUUUAUUAAAGCGGACAAUAAAUAUUUUACCAAUCUUAAUAUUUAUUGAAGUGGACAACAAAUGUUUUACUAAUCUUAAGAUUUAUUGAAUUCAUCGGUCAAAAUGAUGUAUAGAUAUUUAAGGGUAUUUUAAAGUUUUAAUGAUAUAUUUCAAUAUGUAAUAUGGUGAAAAUAUGUGUUUUUACCCCAUUUAAGGUUAAUUGUCUACUUUCAGGAAUAUUAGUAAAAAAAAAAAAAUAUGGAGCUAAAAGAAGCUUAAUGGAACAAGUUCGUGUCAAGGCCUAAAAUUAAGAUACAUGGACUGCUAAUUAUAAGGCCCAAGGGAUAUUUUAGUCAUUUUAUAUAAUUAUUAGGAUUUAUAUUAAGAGUUAUUUAUGAGAUAGUAUUUGGUGGAGAUCAAGACACUUUAAGUCUUAUCUAUUAGAUAGACUUAUAUUUAUAUACUUAUCUCUAGAUAGAUUUAUUUAGAGGAGGAUUCUCCUCUAUAUAUAUCUUUAGAGGAGGAAGGAAAGGAAGAAAGAAGGAGGGGAAUUUUAUCCUACCUGCUCUCUACACCUGCCACCAUUAUUCUCCCCAUAAUUCUCUACAGUUUUUCAUAAACAUUUAGUUUUAAUUUUCAUUACUCUUUUUAGGAUCUAAGGAGCUUUUCAAGAAGUGGAGUCUGAGGACCAAUCUUCUUCCUACUUGAAGAAAUUCUUGAUCUAGAUGGAGAUUUUACUUUUUUUAUGUCUUUCUAUUUAAUACCAUGAUCAUUGGGUUAAAUAUGUUAGGCUAGUUUUUAUAAGUGUUUAGUUUAGUUUUUUUACUUUUGUAUGAACCUUGUUAUUUAUUUGUUUAAUGAAUGAUUUCUUUACCUUCAUAUCUUUAUUAAUUUCAGUUAUUAUUGUUAGUUAACCAUCAUAUUAAUUUAGCAAGAGUAAUUGUUAUAAGAAUCUUUAGGUUUAAAAGUAUUAGAAACAUCAUAUUUACUUUAAUUUAUGUUGGUAUAAGAAACCUAGAUUGCAUCAUUAACUUGAAUGACUUAGAGAAAAAGGCACAUCACCAUCUCAUUCAUUAGAUCUAGGCUUAAAGUAAAACAAGAAGAUUACUAGUAAAUGGCUAGAUUAAAUACUAUCUUUAGCAUAUAGUUUUAGAUCAUAAACAUUUGCAUUUGCAUUGCAUAUUUAUUUAUUGUUUAGUUACUUUACUUUAUGAAAUAUUACCCUCUCAAAAUACUGAUUUAGAGUGCUUAUAUUUACUUUUAUUGUUUUGUGUUGAUAAUUAGUCUUUAUAAUAAUUGGCCUCAUAGUUCCUUGAGAGAUCGACCUCGUGGUGAACUUACUCUUACUAUAGGAACGGUUCGUGCACUUGCGAGUACUAAAAACGACACAUCAAGUUUUUGGCGCCGUUGCCGGGGAAUUGUGUCUAAAUUUAUUUUAUUGAUUGAUUAUCAAAAGUGUCUUGUAUUUGUUAGUUUGCUUUGUAUUUUAUGAUUUAUUUUAUUUCUAUAUUUUUAUUUUGUUUGUGUGUUUUGUGUUUUGUAAUUUGUUUUAUUUAUAUGUUUUUGUUUUGUUUAUAAUUUUUUUUUUUCAAAUCUGAAAUUUUCUUUUAUUUUGUAUGCGAAGAAGAAAAACUAUAUUAAGUGAUUCAUCAACUUAGAAGAUUGAAGAAGAAUCAAAAGAAGAAGUUAAUAUCAUGGCAAACCCACCAAGAGAAGUAGGAGCUGAAAGGCGAAUGACUAUGAAAGAUUAUGCACUGCCUAUAGACCUGUUCAUGGGCCUGGGUACCCACCCGGCCCGCCUAGGCCCGCACUCUUCGGCCCGGGCUUGGACAAGAAUUUUGUUGUAUAAGCCCAGCCCGGCCCGAACCCAUAAAAAGCCCGAAAUUUUCGGGCCGGGCUUGGGAUUUCCAUGAAAAUCCAAGCCUGGCCCGGCCCGAUGUUUAGUUUAAUUAGAAAAAAAAAUGUCAUACCUAGCAUUUGAACUUGUGACCUUCAACUUAUAAUUAAGUACUACAUACCACUUAGCUACCUAUUAUUUUUAUCUAUAAUUUUAUUGUUAUUAAUAAUAUAUUUAAAUAAAACUAAACUCAAGCCCAGCCCGAACCCGCCCAGCCCGACCCUUAUUUACAGAUUUAACAACUGGUCCAGCCGGGCCAGGCUUUUUAUCAAGAGAAUGUUGAAUCUUUUCAUGAAGUAUGGAAUCGCUUCAAAUCACUUCUAUUGCAAUGCCCACACCAUGGGUUUCUAUUCCCAAUAAUCAACCAAUUAUUUUAUGAUGGGUUGACACAACAAUAUCAAUGUAUGGUUGAUAAUGCAGCUGGGGGUGCUAUGUUAGAUAGGAUACCUUAUGAGGUUUAUGACAUUUUUGAGAUGUUAGGAGCCAAUUCUCAACAAAAGAGUGUGAGGACAAAGAGAGUAGAAGUAAAUGAAGUAGUAGCUAGUAGUGAGAUGACAAUGCAAUUGGUUGAAUUGACUAAGUAAAUUAAUAUGCUUACUUCAACAAAAAAAUCACCAAAUAAUGAGGUAUGUGGUAUUUGUGGUAUUUAUGGUCAUAGUGAUGUGGUAUUUGUGGUAUUUAUGGUAAUAGUGAUGUGGUAUUUGUGAUAUUUAUGGUUAUAGUGCUAAUGUUUGUUUAUCUUUUGAUAAUUACAGAGGAAAUAUGUAUGACCAAACAAAUUUGAUGGAUUUUUACCAACCCAUGUAUCCUAUGAAUGACCCUUAUUCCAACAUAUAUAAUACAGGUUUGAGAAGUCAUCCAAAUUUUUCUUGGAAAUACAAUGACCAAAAUCCACCACAAUUAUUGAGAAAUCAAAAUCAACCUCAUUAUCAAAACCAAUAUUCUCAAUUCCAAAGGGACUCAAAUCCUUUCUUUCAAGAUCAAGAACAAACUCUUCAAUCUAAUGAACAAAGGAAGCCAAGUUUGUAAGAAAUACUUCAAUCAUUUAUGAUGGUUUUUCAUGAUAGGAUGGAGAGGAAUGAGAAAAAGACAGAUUCAAUUGAGGCUUCACUGAAACGUUUAGAAGCUCAAAUGAAACAAAUUAUUGAAGAGCUCAAUAAAGAGAAACUAUCAAGUCAAUCUGAACAAGCCAAUUCCAUUACUACUAUUAGAAGAGGUGAGGUUGUCGAUAAUAUUGCUAUGGAAACUAAAAGAAAUUCUUCUUUUUAUGCAGGUACACCUGAAAAUGAUGGAUUAGUGCAAAUCAAUAAGGAGAGCAUGCAAAAGAAAGAAAAAGUAGAGCCUAAUCUUAGGCUUGAGAAGAAAGAAAAGAAAGCAUUUUGUAGACCUGAAUUUCAUAAGGCAGCUCAGCCUUAUAGACCCCCUAUUCCUUUUCUAAACCAACCCAAAGAGAGCCAAAAAGAUGACGUUUUUUUUGAAAGUAUUGAGAUGCUCUCUAAAGUUAAUACUAAUUUACCUUUGUUGGAUGUUAUCAGGAAUAAGCCAGCUUAUGCAAAAUUCUUUGAAGCGUUGAAUACCAACAAAAGGAGAUAAUGUGAACAACAAAAAAGCAAAAGUAGCAAGUGUAAUACUUCAACAUCAGUUGCCCCUUAAGAUGAAGGAUCCCAGUAGUUUCACCAUUGAUAUUACAAUAAGUGACAAAAAGCAUACAAAAGCAAUGUUAGAUUUAGGAGCAAGCAUCAGCUUGAUGCCUUAUUCGGUGUAUGAACAACUUGGCUUGAGACAGUUGAAGCCUGCCACUAUAUCUCUACAAUUUGCUCAUAGAUCGAUAAAAUAUCCUAGAGGUAUAGUGGAAGACUUGCUAGUACAAGUAGGUAAGUUAAUAAUUCCUGUUGAUUUUGUAGUGCUUGACAUGGCAACUAGUAGAACUGCGAUUGAUGUGCAUGAUGGAAAACUUACCAUGAUAGUUUUAGGAAAAACUGUGGAACUUAAAGUGUUUGAUUCUCUAACUUUAUCUCCUAAAUCUACUAUCAAUAAGUGUUCAUAUAAUUAUUUAGAAUCUCUCGCUUAUGAACAAUUAUAUGAUGAUAUUCCAUUUUUAAUUGACAAGAGCUUUAGUGACAUUUUAGAUAUUCGUAUUAAAAGUAUGAAGCCAUACUUGAAAGGAAUGGCUCAUGACGAAGAGGUGGAGUGCGUGGAUGAAUGCCCACCAUGAGCAUAAUCAGGAAUGUCUAGCUAUAGACAAUAAACUUAGCGAUUUUAUUUUUAUUUUUAUGAAUUUAAGUUUUUUUUAUUUUUUUAUUUUAUUAUUUUUCUAUUUUUUAUUUGUUUCAUGUUUAUCUUGUAGGCUUAUGUUUGAUCUCCAAAAGGCAACAUGUCUCCAUGAAAAGCAAUUAAAGCUCCAAAAAAAAAAUUAUUGAGCGAGCCACGUUGCGGCAGCGAAUUUUCACACGGGCCCAUAGCAGAGGCACGACAGAGACGAUAUGGGCCCGUAGCAGAGGCACGGCAGGAACGAUACAGGCCCGUAGCAGCUAGUGGUAGGGCCAGCCACGGAUCGCGGAACACUCUGCGAGGAAGCCAGCUGCGUGCUGCCGCGAGCCGCAGCUGACCUCCUGCUCGUAGCGUAGGCAGGCAGCACGCGCAUGGGCCCGCAGCAGAGGCAAGUAGCGCACACGAACGGGCCCGCAGCAUCGACAGGCAGCGCACGAACGGGCCCGCUGCAGCGCGCACGAACGUGCUCGCAAUGAAGGCAAACGUGGCAACAACUUAACGACAUAGACCGCGGGGUGGCCGCUAGAAAAAAAAAAUUUUUUUUUUAAGAUUAAAUAUAUAUCCAUCUCAUCCACAUAAAUAAUCAUAUCAUUGAUUUAGGAUUUUAUUUUAAAUUUUAUUCUAAAAAUUAUAUUUAUUUAUUUUUAGGAUCUAACUUUUAUUUAUUUUAGGAUUUAAUCUUUCUAGUAUAUUUAGGAAAGUUAAUUAUUUUUAAUUCUUUAUUUCUUUUAUAGUUGUCAAUGAUGUGUGUUCAAGUGUGCUUCUAAGGUUUGGAUAAUGGAGAUUGGAAUUCAAGUUCAUGGCUUACUAUGCAUUGUAAAAUUCCAGGGGAGUAUUCUAUCUUUUUGUUCUUUAUUUUUAUAUAUCCAAUGACAUUGAGGAUAAUGUCAAAUUUAAGUGUGGGGGAGGGAAAUAGAAUAUUUCUUGGAUUAAACUUUACAUGCCAUGACAUGAGAAUUAGCAACUUUGAUGAAUCUUUGCAAAAUAUUUUUUCACUUAGCUUUGUCUUAUUAUUCUAUAUAAGAGUCUAUGAAAAAAUGCUAUUAUGUUAAGAUUCUUGAAUUCUUGAAUUAGUUUUAACAUAUAUAAAUGUGAACUCAUGAGUUAUUUGCACUUAAAUAAUCAAGUGUUCAUCUUUUGCAUAUGGACAUGAUGAAUAGUUUAGCAACAUUCUACAUGGGUAUGAUUAGAAGUGUAUGAUUUAGGUUAUUAUUUCCUUGUUACUAAAUUGGCUUACCUAAGUUUGUGAGAUAUGAUAUGGGCAAGUUUAAAGCUCUAAGUUUAAUAACUCUACUCCGCUAAUUUUAGUUGUUUAGUAACCGGUGAUCUUCACGACUAAUGUUGAUUUUCGCGUAAAAAGGAAAUUGAGAUUAUGAGUAUGCAAAGCAUCUUGAUAUAUGUUUUGUUGAGUAACCAGGUGCAUUCAUCACCCAUGUUUGUAUUUACAUAAAAAGGCAUAACAUCUCAAGAAAGAAACAAAUACCCCAAGUAUCAAAACUUAAAAUCCAAGGGGUAUAAAGAAAAAAAAAAUAUAUAUAUAUAAGAGCUUCAAAAGCAAGUAAUAAAUGCCUAUUGUUCUUUUAUUUUUAAAUGAAGGCUUUGCCUUUUUUAAUAAGAUUAUGAUAAUUUGGAUUAUGCAUCAUAGUUGUAUCCUUUAAAGAUGAGGUAGACUAUUUAUUGUGAAACAGGUGUGAAUGAUUGGAUGCUUGAGUUUUUUUAUUAACAAUUAUUAAGUUUAUAUUUUUAAAGAAAAUUAUUAUGAUUCAAGUGUUCUUGGGUUGACAUAAUCUUUGCAUUAGUGAGAUUCUUUUGAAUAAUAUCUUUAAGCUGAGUAUGAAUGCUUUUCAUGAUUUUUGCAAAAGUUAAUUCUGAGUUGCUAUUUACUUGAGGACAAGUAAAUGUUUAAGUGUGGGGGUAUUUGGUCGGUCCAAAUUAUGUGUAGAUCUUUAAGGGUAUUUUAAAGCUUUAAUAAUAUAUUUCUAUAUAUAAUAUGGUGAAAAUAUGUGUUUUUACCUCACUUAAGCUUAAUUGUCUAUUUUCAGGAAUAUUAGUAAAAAGAGAAAAAUAUGGAGCUAAAAGAAGCUUAAUGGGAUAAGUUCGUGUUAAGGCAUAAGAUUAAGACGCAUGGAUUGCUAAUUACAAGGCCUAAGAGAUAUUUUAGUCAUUUUACAUAAUUAUUAGGAUUUAUAUUAAGAGUUAUUUAUGGGAUAGUAUUUAGUGGAGAUUAAGACACUUUAAGUCUUAUCUAUUAGAUAGACUUAUAUUAGUAUACUUAUCUCUAGAUAGAUUUAUUUAGAGGAGGACUCUCCUCUAUAUAUAUCUCUAUAGGAGGAAGGAAAGGAAGGAAGAAGGAGGGGAGUUUUCUCCUACCUGCUCUCUACACCUGCCACCAUUAUUCUCCCCAUAAUUCUCUAUAGUUCUUCAUAAACAUUUAGUUUUAGUUUUUAUUACUUUUUUUAGGAUCUAAGGAGCUUUUCAAGAAGUGGAGUCUGAGAACCAAUCUUCUUCCUACUUGAAAAAUUCUUGAUCUAGAGGGAGUUUUUACCUUUUUAUAUCUUUCUAUUUAAUACCACGAUCAUUGGGUUAAAUAUGUUAGGCUAGUUUUCAUAAGUGUUUAGUUUAGUCUUUUUACUUUUGUAUAAACCUUGUUAUUUAUUUAUUUAAUGAAUGAUUUCUUUACCUUUAUAUCUUUAUUAAUUUCAGUUAUUAUUGUUAGUUAACUAUCUUGUUAAUUUAGCAAUAGUAAUUGUUAUAAAAAUCUUUAGGUUUAAAAGUAUUAGAACAUCAUCUUUACUUUAAUCUAUGUUGGUAUAAGAAAUCUAGGUUGCAUCAUUAACUUGAGUGACUUAGGGAAAAAGGCACAUCGCCAUCUCAUUCAUCAGUUCUAGGCUUAAAGUAAAACAAGGAGAUUACUAAGUAAAUGACUAGAUUAAAUAUUAUUUUUAGCAUAUAGUUUUAGAUCAUAAACAUUUGCAUUUGCAUUGCAUAUUUAUUUAUUGUUUAGUUACUUUACUUUAUAAAAUAUUACCCUCUCAAAAUACCGAUUUAGAAUGUUUAGAUUUACUUUUAUUGUUUUGUAUUGAUAAUUAGUCUUUAUAAUAAGUGGCAUCAUAGUUCCUUGAGAGAUCGACCUCGUGGUAAACUUACUCUUGCUAUAGGAACGGUUUCUGCACUUGCGAGUACUAAAAAAGACACAUCACUAAUCUUAAGAUUUAUUGAAGUGGACAACAAAUUAUAUAUAUAUAUAUAUAUAUAUAUAUAUAUAUAUAUAUAUAUAUAUAUUCUGAAAAUUUUUAUUUAGAUUUGGUAGUGUCCCUACUUAUACACCAAAUUGAUAGAUAACUGAUACAUAUUCAUUUAUUUUAAAUUAUGAAAUAUAUGUGUCAAUCGUCCAAUACCAAAAUAUAAAACACUCACACAUACGUAUCACUCUCCUAUUAAUUGUGAUGUAUACAUCAAGCCUAGCUAAUAAUUUCUUAUAAUUUAAUCUAAAAAUAGAAACCAUCCACGCAACAUACAAGUAUCAGAUUAAUAUCAAAUAAAAUUAAAAGCAUGACACAAUCAAAUAUGCCACUGAAUUAUUUGUAUCAUUUGAAGUCUCGGCUAAUAGCUACUAUAAAUUAUAAUGAAACUUUAACACUAAACCCAGAAAGAAAAACAUCAAAUCCAUGGCUUCUCUUUGGCUACUUUCUGUUCUUUUACUCUUCCCUCUAUGCUUUUUCUUCUUGAAAAAGAAACUACAGGCUAAGACACAUACCAAGAAUCAUCCCCCAGGCCCUCCUUGCCUUCCAAUUAUAGGCAACCUUCACCAACUUGGAGUAUUGCCUCAUCAACCUUUAUGGCAAUACUCUAAGAAAUAUGGUCCUGUCAUGGAUUCUGGUGGCUCCUAUGGAGUAGAAGUAGCACACUACCUGUACACAGCUUCAAUAAGAAAUCCAACCUCUUUGAAAGUAGCAGUAGUGAUAUAAAAAACUGUUCUUUGCUUAAUGAAUUUGAAUAAUUGAAAAAAUGGUGUAUAAACUUAUUAAAAUUUUAUAAUCAAGUGUUUAAACUUUUAAAGUUACAAGGUGUGAACUUAAUAAAUAUUUAUAAUUUAAUAUAUAUAAUAGGUUAAUCUAUCACUAUAAAAUAUCUAAAAUAAAAUCAGUUAUUAUUUAGAAUGAUAAUAUUUACUAUAAUCUUAAUUAUUAAUACAUCUGUUUAAGUAUUUAUUUAUAUAUUUUUAUCUAUUUUUGUUAUUUUUAUUAUUUAGAAUGAUAAUCUUUAGAUUUUUUUAUAUAUAUAGUGACUGGUUUUACACACUCAAAUAUUAAUAAUUUUUGAUUUUACACAUUUAAUUGUAACUUUUAAAAGUUUAAACAUUUGAUUAUUGAAUUUUAACAAAUUGACACACUAUUUUAUAAUUAUUUUUAAUUAAAAAAAGCUGAUAUAGAUAAUCUGUAAUUUGUUGUUCACCUGCUAUAUAUGCUCAAUUAUAAAAAUUUACUAGAUUCAUACAUCAAAUUGUAAAUUCUAAAAGUUUCAAUAUUUAAUUGUCAAAUCUUAAUAAGUUUAAGUGUCUAUUUUUGUAAUUAUUUCUAAUGAAUUUUAAAAAGGAGACAAUGUAAAUGUACAGGCGUGUCAUAGUGGCAUAUUGAAGAGCCCCAAUAACAUGGCGAUAUUGCUCACCAUCUUCCAAUAAAGAGCUUGAUUCUUUUGUCAAUACGGGAGAGGUGGCCAUCGGUGUAUUGCAUGAUUUUGCAUUGUCCAUUUUUUAUUUUUUUAAUAAGUCAUGCAAAUAUUUUCUUUGAUUCACCAACAUUAGAUAUUAGACGUUAGAUAGGAUUAUCACAAAUAGGAUUUGACAUUAGAUAUUAGGCGAAUUAUCAGAAAAUAAAUCAUUUCUAAAUUUUACUUAUAUAUGAAUUAUACGGUUAUGUGUUCAAACGGAGGAAAAUCAGCAAAUUAAGUGAAAAGAUAUAGUUCAAAUUCAGCCCUGCAUAUUAGAUGAGUGAAUAAGCUUAUAACAUUGUGUUUUUAAUUAUAUUAAAUAUAUAAUCUUUAUUCAAAUAAUUUUAAGAGAAAUCUCUUAUUUUCAGUAAAUUUGAUUUAGAAAAAUUAAAAUAGUUUCUAUAGAAUUAAGAAAUAGAUAAUGAUAGUUGAAUUUUUGUAAUGUUUAUAAAUUUGAUUUAUAUAGCAAAAUAAGUGGUAUACGCCAAUUUAUGAGGCAUGAACUAUCACAUUUUGAAUGUUGGGUAUUGAUUCAGUAAUAGAAACAAAUAAUAUAUUAUUUUUGGAACAACAUUUAAUAUGCAUAUGCCUUUGGGCAUAUAUUGGGUUAUAGCCUUUGGGAUAUGUCUGCGUGUAUAUGAUUGAAGUUUGCACUUUGGACUCCCAAGUAAGACAUCUUUGCACUCUUGCUACUGGGAUUAUCAAGGUACAUCUAUAAGUAUGUAUUGGAUUUUUUAUUGUUGAUGCUUUGAUAAUUUUGUUGUAGAGAUCGAUUAAUAAUUAUCAGAUUUUAUAACUGACAUUUGUCCAGCUGGUUAUCAGUUUCAGAUUAUAUUUAUAUAGUAUGAAUUAUGAUAUUAAAUUACUUAUCAUCUCACUCUUGUUAUUUAUUUAUUUUCUCAUUGAAUUUUUACUUACUCUAUUUCCACCCAUCAAUGUUAUGUAGGAUGCCUAAGAGUUGGAUCAGAAUAAAAGUCAUUGUGGUUAGAGUUUGGUGUUGCUAGACUCUAUAGUCUAGAAAAGAGAAGAAUGAGAAUUAGACAGUUAGGUCUAGUUUGAGCAAGGGCAUUACAAACAUCAAUAUGGAAGAAGCACUUGAUCUUUCAAUUGUUAAAAAAUAUAAAAUUUAUGAUUUAAUUUGUAACUAGGCCUUAUAAGAAAGAACCCCUUGUUACUUAUACCAAUUGUAUAUCGGGGAGUGUCAAGAAAGUAAUUAUAUACUAGCUAGUUAUUUAGGCCUAAUUAUUAAUUAAAUCAUGAACUCUAUAUUUUUUUUUAAUAAUUUUAUUCAAUUAGUUUUAAAUUUUUAAAAUAAAUACCUAUAUUUUUAAUUUAUUUUGAAGAACACUUUUCAAUAAUAAAUUAAAAACAUGAAUAUUUAUUUUAAAAUUUUAGUGUAAAAUUCAGAAUUUAAUUUAUAAUUAGACCUGUUAUUUAUAGCUAUUAAGUUUUGCUUGUAUUCUAAUUAUGUAGACUAAUUGUACCAAUAAAUUGUUUAUCUUAUUUCUGAAGAUAUUACUACUAAAUAAAUUUAUAAAAAAAAAAAGAUGAAAGUCAAUUUCUUUGGUAUAAAGUUUUAAAGUUGAACUCCAGUUAAUAUAUAUAUAUAUAUAACUUCUAAAUUUAUAUUUGUCUUUUUUCUUGAUAAUGCAUAUUUUCCUUCAUAUAUUGGAAAUACUUUACAUUCUUUUAUGUCCUCAAAAUCAAUUUUUGGAUCAUCACCUUAUCUCUUUCUCAACCACGCACUAUAGUUAGAAUAUCUCUUCCAAUUUGCACAUGAAACAUGAGUGCUUUGGAAGAUCGCGUCCUUAUAUAUGCCAUGCUCCUCACACCCACAUGUUAAGAGGGACCAUCCUUUUGGAGCUUUCAAUUAUGGUCUUGAAUUGGGCCAAUAUUUAAUGAUAAUAAUAAUUAUAGGGUAAAGCCUUGGAUCUUUUUCAUUUGAAGGACGAAAAUAUUAUUCUGUAUCAAAGGAUUACUAUAUGUUUAUUUUCUUAAUAUUUUUCAAACAUAUAUUUAUGUUUUGUAUAUCUUUAACUUGAAUCAUCAUCAAAUUAUUAUUUUAUAAAUAAUCUGGCAUCUAAUAAUGCAUCAUAGAAUUUAUAAAUAUAUUAAAAUUAAUUUUAAAAAAUUAUUUUUUAAAUAUAGAUUUUAAAUUUUAUAAGUUUUUUUAAAAAAAUCGAUAAAGGUAUAAAAACUUUGUAACGGUCCUGCCCAAAUUAGCCCUAACUAUCUAAUUUCCAAGUCUUCUAUUUUUUCAGACCGUAGAGUCUAGCAAUCCAAAUCUCUAACUGCUACUACUUCAAUCAUGAUCCGACUCUUAAAUUUUCUACAUAAACUAGUGGAGAAUAAUUGAGGUGAGUAGUGAGCAAUUUUUUUUAAUUAAAUGAAUUAAAUAUAGUUUGAUAAAUUCUUUUAAUUUUAUAUUUUUUUCUAAUUUCAAAUCCUCUUUAAAAAUAAGAUUUCAUUAAUAAUCUCUUAUAAAUCAUCCAAUUAAAAAUAAAAUUUCUUUAUUCUUAUUAUUAUUAUUAUUACUAUUAUUAUUAUUAUUAUUAUUAUUAUUAUUAUCAUUAUCAUUAUUAUUAUUAUUAUUAUUAUUAUUGUUAUUAUUAUUAUUAUUAUUAUUAUUAUUAUGGUCUUUUAGAUAUGGGUGUCACAAAAUCACUGUAAAUUCACCAUUUCUGACUAAUUUCAUCUAAUGCUAAAGCAUGAUACACUUGUAUACACUUUGCCACUGAAUUAUUUGUCGCGGUGUCUCGUAUACUCCUACAGCAACAAAUAUUGCCCCAAACUUUGAAGUGUCCGCUAGUGGCUCCUAUAAAUUAAAUGAAUGAAAUUUCAAAACCAAAGCCAGAAAGAAAACAUCAAAUUCAUGGCUUCUCUUUGGCUAUUUUCUCUUCUUUUACUCUUCCCUCUAUUCUUCUUCUCCUUGAAAAAGAAACGAGCUAAGACACAUACAAAGAAUCAUCCCCCAGGCCCUCCUAGUCUUCCAUUUAUAGGCAACUUUCACCAACUUGGAGUACUGCCUCAUCAAUCUUUAUGGCAAUACUCUAAAAAAUAUGGUCCUGUCAUGCUUGUAAAAUUUGGUAGUGUUCCUACUGUUAUCAUCUCUUCUGCAGAAGCAGCAAAAGAACUCCUCAAAACUCAUGAUCUCAACAGUUGUAGCAGACCUUAUUUGACUAGUACUGGAAAGCUAUCUUACAACCAUCUUGAUAUAGCUUUUGCACCUUAUGGAGAUUACUGGAGAGAUAUGAGAAAGCUUUGUGUUCUUGAACUCUUUAGUGCUAAAAGAGUGCAAUCUUUUGAAUUCAUUAGAGAAGAAGA
rnacentral:lncRNA from 1 species